CCUACGGGAGGCAGCAGUGGGGAAUCUUGCACAAUGGAGGAAACUCUGAUGCAGCGAUGCCGCGUGAGUGAAGAAGGCCUUUGGGUUGUAAAGCUCUUUUGUAGGGGAAGAUAAUGACUGUACCCUAAGAAUAAGGUCCGGCUAACUUCGUGCCAGCAGCCGCGGUAA
rnacentral:rRNA from 1 species